CUCUGAGCCUCCCUAUCUAGUGUCCCAUCUCUGGCCACUGGCAAUAUUUGCUAACAGCAAUCAUGGAUGGGUCAGAUGUUGUUGUAGGCAAUCCCAUCAUAAUAUCCACUCUCAUUCAAGUUAAGCUUUUCCCCCGCUGCUCCCCUUGGAAAGUUAUUCUAGAACUUCACUCCCCUAAUGGUUAGAAACCUUCGUCUAAUUUCAAGCCUAAAGUUACUGAGGCCAGUUUAUAUCCAUUUGUUCUUGUGUCAACAUAGGUCCUACUUUAAAUAAUUUCUCCUCCAUUCCUGGUGGUUUUCCAUCUGAUUUAUUUAUGGAGAAAAAUGAGAGCUGGUCAGGAAUUUUUUGGCAAAAACAUUCUGUGUUGGAAAAUGCCCAUUCUUCAAAACUGAGACUGUCCACAGGAAAAGCUGCUAUAUUUCCUUCUGGUUGCAUCAGAAGAUACACAUAUCAUCUAUCAUUUGUACCCGUCACCUUAGUAAAGGAACAAACAUGAAAAACAAAUCACUGUCUGCGAAUGGAUCAUUUUCAUGUUCCCUCUUCCAUGAGGGAUUGAGGUCCCAGGCCGCUCACUCUCUGUUGGCUGCAGAACCUCCACAGCUCACCCACAGUGCAGUACAAACGUUUCUGUGAUGAACUGAUGGUUGAAGUUCUGCAGAGAGCCACCAACAAUUCCAGUACCACGAACAAAGGGACUUGUGGCUAGAGGAAAGGCCUGGUGGGAGACCAGAGGAAAGGCUCCAGCUGGCUGCAUAGCUUGAGGACAGGGUUUCAGUGUGGGAGCAGGCACUUGCUUUGCAGUUCCUGGAACAGGAAUGGUGGCUAAGGGAGGACAGAGCUGAGCAGCUGUUGUCAGUAAUAGCUACAAGAGUACCCGCUGUUGCUCCAUUAUCCACACCAUGGCCUGAGAUACCUGCAUGGUACCCUGGGAUGCAGUCCAGAAACUUCAGGCCUGGGUGGCCCAUGCAGUCAGGCCCCAUGAGCAGCUGGGCAGGGCAACUUAGCCGUAUGCAGCCCUUUGUCUUGACCUCUCCCCUGUUGAUGCCUCCAACCCCUGCCCUGGCAUCAAGUGCUCAGCAAAUGGAGAACAAAGGGAAAGGAGAAUGGGGGCCCAGGGGACAUGCCACGGCAGGGGUUUCUGUCUUGUACUUAGUUCUACUGUUCACACUUGUUCUUCCAGAGGUUUUUGUGUUUUUUUCCCCUGUAAGGUUCUGUUGUUACUGGUGUUUUGGUGUGGUAAUGGUGGCUCACCGCCUCGGAAUGGGCAGCUGUUGUCCUUUUAUAACACAUAAGUAAAUAAAGAUUUGUAUGUCUUCAGGA